rnacentral:rRNA from 1 species
AUUGAACGCUGGCGGCAUGCCUUACACAUGCAAGUCGAACGGUAACAGGUCUUCGGAUGCUGACGAGUGGCGAACGGGUGAGUAAUACAUCGGAACGUGCCUAGUAGUGUGGGAUAACUACUCGAAAGAGUGGCUAAUACCGCAUGAGAUCUACGGAUGAAAGCAGAGGAUCGCAAGACCUUGUGCUACUAGAGCGGCCGAUGGCAGAUUAGGUAGUUGGUGGGAUAAAAGCUUACCAAGCCGACGAUCUGUAGCUGGUCUGAGAGGACGAUCAGCCACACUGGGACUGAGACACGGCCCAGACUCCUACGGGAGGCAGCAGUGGGGAAUUUUGGACAAUGGGCGAGAGCGUGAUCCAGCAAUGCCGCGUGCAGGAUGAAGGCCUUCGGGUUGUAAACUGCUUUUGUACGGAACGAAAAGCCCUGGGUUAAUACCCUGGGGUCAUGACGGUACCGUAAGAAUAAGCACCGGCUAACUACGUGCCAGCCGCCGCCGUAA